UAUGUUCUCCACAGGCUUUCUUGAACUAUGAACUCUAAGGGAUUUAUCUUCUUUUUUUUCUUCUUUUUAUGUAUUGUUUUUUUUUUUAAAGGAAAAAAAAAUUAGAAAGAAAGAUUGAUUGAUUAGAAGAGGAGGAGGAGGAAUAGUCUUGAGUUGUUGAUAGUUCAAGAAAGUUCGUGGAAAACAUG
rnacentral:pre_miRNA from 1 species